GAUGUGGACCUCACUUUGGAAACACUGACAGAGAGCUUUCAGAGAUGCAGUGACUCUGCCAGAUGCUUCAGUGUCUCCCAGGAGGCAGGUUUUGCAGUGCAUGGAGAGGAACCAGCUGGCAGAGAAAGGAAUGUGAGAGGGUGACCACCCUACAACCCAGGGAAAUGGGUUCUUGUUCUAGCCUGGUGUUGGAGAAUCACUCUCUGCAUCUGAUGUUUACAAAGAAGAUAAAUUCCUCUUCAGGCCUGACACCAGCCAUCCACCUCCAGCAGCAAGGGAACCAGGAAAUCUCAUGGCCAGCCUGGCCAGCAAGCGAGUGGAAUAUGCAAAGGAGAUGACUCACAGCAGACCAGCACGGUCGGCCAUGAAGCAGAGGCCAAAUUGCCAUCUGUUUCAUCAAGUUCGUUGGUGGUUGCCGUAUUUAUGUCUGUGAUUUAUGUCUAGGUGUCACCAUGAGCCUUGGCAGAUUUGGGAGACUAUUAAAUGUAUGAUUUGUCGAUAGCUA
rnacentral:lncRNA from 1 species